rnacentral:lncRNA from 1 species
CCCGCCACGUCGGCAUCCGCAUCAGCAGCUGCGCAUGGAUCUUGGCGCUAGGAUGGCUGGCGUUGAGACAUGUAAGCUUGGCGUCAGCGUGGAUGGCGCCAAGCUGAGGGUCCAGAUUUUGAAAUGGUUCUACCAGGGACAUAUUUGUGAGAAUCUUUCACAAAAAGGGCCAAAAACAAAAAAGACGGGCUUGGGUACGAGAUUGACUUGCCAAAUCACCACGUGCUUCGCCUCUAAGUCAUCUAAAAUGAUGGUUCAUUGAAUGUGGACGCAUUUGGACGAUGAAUUGGUCCCCAAUCGGCCUACCCUCUUUUGGUCUCCGCUGGUCCUCGUCUUUCUCGUGUAGAUUUCUUGUAUUGUCCAAAGUCCAGGUCCAAAUCCAACUUAUACAAAAACCCUUCAUUUAUAUCGUAUUUCCUGUAAUUUUGCAAUAUGGUCCAAAGCACAAUACAUAUGUGAAUAUGGGGUUAUUUCAGGUGCCAAGUGGUGGGUUAGUAUAAGAAUAUGCAUGAAAAAGCUCUUCAAAUGGUACUAAAAGUGUGUCAAUAAUGAGCGUCAACACCUAGCCCAACCUACCGAUAGUCCCCAUAGUGUACUAGCUUAUACAAAUGUGUUGUGCCGAGGUUAGCUGUACAAAUUAGUAAUACUUCUGCAAGUGUUAAUAAUUACAUGUGGAAAUCGUACUCUUUCAUUCCCAUAUUUUUGUAUUGAAAAUAUUACUUGUCAAUUAUUAGCAGCAGUUAGCCACCAGUUUGUGAACCGCAAGCACAUGGAUUCAUUGUAGCUCUUUGUUUAAAGUAUUCCACCAAGGUUUAUCAAUCCGCGGAAAUAAGAUCAUAAGCUCUAAACUAACGAAGGACUGGAAAUCAUGAUUUAGGUUGAAAGACAUGUGAAUAGACAUGAACAGAUAUGAGCAUAUAUAUAUGUAUGUAUGUAUGUAUGUAUGUAUGUAUGUAUGUAUGUAUGUAUGUAUGUAUGUAUAUGAAGAGGUAACUCCUCUAUAGCAGAGCCUGUACUAUGCAUAUGUUAUAGUUCUAGCUAGAUAGUAAGCAACACAUGAUUCAAAUCAUCUUUAUAUCUCCACCUCCGGUCUGACUCCUGAAAACUGUACCUUACUAGGCAUAAGACCCUGUCACGAUCCUACAUACCGUUCAGUGUAAGUUUAAGGGCAUGAACACAAGCCACACGUCUAGCUAUUAUGAAAGAUUGGGUAUGCAAUUCUAGUCACUGCGACUACAAGAACACCCUAUACAAUCUAUGUCGACUAUAGAUUGGAAUAAGCAAACUCGUAGUAGAAACUUAUAAAAGGAGAAACAUGGAUCACUAUUGAAUUGGAACACGUCUAUUACUUUACCAUGAAUGAUUGUCUAUCACAAGAUCUCCACCAAGACCAUACCUAUGACUUGUGACUCCUAGCUCCAGAAUUCCAGCGUGGAUCUUCCUCGCAGGGUGAUCACACCGACCAGAGCCUAGCCCAAGCUAGCCUUCAGACAAUUGUGCGGUCCUCAGCUCUCUGUAGAUGGUUGUCCCACAAGCUCCUCGACUUCUGCUGCGAAUGGACUCCCUUGUGUCACACCCAGUUUUAAAACAAAACCAAGUGCUACCUAUAUGUAUGUCAGGAUCCAAUUUCAUACAUAUAGUGACAUCAUAAGUGAAUAACAGUAACAGGAUCACGUAAAGGAAUAAGAGAACAUAUCAGAGAUUUACGCUUAAUCCUGGAAACGAAGGCUCCAAACUUCA